rnacentral:rRNA from 1 species
GAUGAACGCUAGCGGCAGGCCUAAUACAUGCAAGUCGUACGGCAACACAGUUGCGAGCAAUCGCAACCGGUGGCGAGUGGCGCACGGGUGAGUAACGCGUAUGUAACCUACCCUUCUCCGGGACAUAACUCCGCGAAAGCGGUGCUAAUAUCCCAUACCAACUCAUCAAGACAUCUUCUUGAGUUGAAAGCAGCAAUGCGGUGAAGGAUGGGCAUGCGUCCCAUUAGCUGGUUGGUGAGGUAAUGGCCCACCAAGGCUACGAUGGGUAGGGGUUCUGAGAGGAAAGCCCCCCACACUGGUACUGAGGCACGGACCAGACUCCUACGGGAGGCAGCAGUAAGGAAUAUUGGGCAAUGGUCGAAAGACUGACCCAGCCAUGCCGCGUGCAGGAUGAAGGCCCUAUGGGUUGUAAACUGCUUUUAGCCGGGAAUAAACACCCGUUUUAUAACGGGCCCGAAGGUACCGGCUGAAUAAGCAUCGGCUAACUCCGUG